UUACUAAUGCGCCUCAAGCUUCACUGUCAACAGUUAAAGAGGAAAAAGAACAACUAAAUCAAUCAAAUGGUGUAACAAAUGCCGCUAUAACUACACCAGGACUAAUACAAAAUACUGACUCAUCAUUGCUAAACAUUAGGAAAAAAGGUGCACAUGAAGAUAAACCACUAGAUGUAAUAAUUGGAACGGUUGUUGGUGGUUUAGCAGUUGUCAUUGGUGUUAGCAUCAUACUUAUAGUAUGCAAAAUCAGGU